rnacentral:misc_RNA from 1 species
GACGAACCGUGCGAACGUUGUUCGGAAUCACUGGGCAUAAAGGGCGCGUAGGCGGGCUGUCCAGUCUGGGGUGAAAUCCCGCGGCUCAACCGUGGAACUGCCUCAGAUACUGACGGCCUCGAGGGAGAUAGGGGCAUGCGGAACUGUAGGUGGAGCGGUGAAAUGCGUUGAUAUCUACAGGAACUCCGGUGACGAAGGCGGCGUGCUGGAUCUCUUCUGACGCUGAGGCGCGAAAGCCAGGGGAGCAAACGGG